rnacentral:misc_RNA from 1 species
GUCUCAGCCUGCACCAUACAGAAAGAAUACUGUAGGAAAAAGGGGAAGAAACAAAAAGGGAGGGAAAAAAAAAUGCAAAGAUCAAUCAGAUAAAGUGCAGGCAGGUAGUCAGUUUUGAUGGGUGUGCUGCAGCAAUCUAAUGUCAUUGUUUACAACAGAAGUUUAUCUGAAAGUAUGGCAAGAGGCUGUACAAAAUUUGCAUUUCUUGAGCUUUCAAGGUAUCCGACAUGAUUCAAUUACUUCGUUCACAGCUUUAUGAGUCUCUGGAGAUAUCAUGUUUAACGUCAAAUGAAAUGCCACAAAUCUCUCCAA